rnacentral:tRNA from 1 species
GCGUUGUUGGUGUAGGGGUUAGCAUUGAAGCCUUCCAUGCUUGGUAGCUUUAGUCGGGGGUUCGAGUCCCUCACAACGCA